rnacentral:misc_RNA from 1 species
AAAAAAAAAUGCUAAGAAGUUAUAUUUGAAAUCUGAAAACAUGAUAAACCAUAACAUUAAAAUCAAACUAGAUAUGAUUCAACUAUUUUCAUUACAAUACUGAACUAGCUACAACAAAAUCAUUUUAUUACCUUGAGAUAGUUGAAAAAUUAAUUUCUUUCUCUCCCUUUUCUCUAAUUGGCAUCAAUUUUUGGAGAAUGCGUAAGGAAAUUAGGACACAUUUAA